rnacentral:rRNA from 1 species
GAGGCAUUUUAGGGACUCACUAGCUUUGGAUUCCAUUGGAACUCCGAAGUUAAGCGAGUUUGGGCGAGAGAGCAUUCCCAAGGGUGACCUACUGGGAAGUUCUCGUGUGAGUUUCC